CUCCCCGAGGAGCGUUGCAACAGAGCCGCCGGUGUCAUCCACCGAGGCCUGCCAGGCUCGGGGGUCCACAUUGCAACGGCGCUCACGAACU
rnacentral:ncRNA from 2 species